UCGCUCUGCUUUCCUGUUUGUUUAAACUCUGUUCAUUACAACCCACUGGUUGCAGGGGUCACUUUGAUGCCAAGCACUGUGAAUACACAAUGAUGGUCAUGGAAGGCAGCUCGAGCUACCCUGUUCCAGCUCAUUAGCUGUGAUUAAUCGGCAUGUGAGCUUUCCCAUGGUCCCCUUUGACUGGCUGGAGACAGAGCUCACCUUGGAGGGCACAGGGAGACGAGGCUGCUACACCACCACCGUUAACACUCUGCCACAUCCAAUUAGUCAGCAAUUCAUCAGUGCACGGCCCAGGUCCAGGUCCAGCCUUCUGGAACCCAGCUCACACAGGACGGACCUGCUUGCCCCAUAAAUGCAGAGAACGUGCUGAGAAGAGAAAAGCAGAGCAGCAGGAGAGAGGCCAAGAACCUGGAAUUAAACGGGGCCACCUGAUCCACACCAGCAGAAUCACAGCCAGCCAAACAGAGCGCUCAUUGUCUGUGGCAGACACCACUGAGCUCUGCUCUUUGUCGCCCCCCUCCCUCCUCCACACACACUGUCCUUCACUAUAGCUAUAGCUGCAGGGAAGAAUUAUAGACUUAAACAUAUAUUUUCAGUGUUGGGGAGUGGGACUUUAUCAUCAAAGUGUCUACUUUAGAAAAGCUAAGUCAUUUUUAAGACACGUUUUGUCGUAAUUUAAAUAAGGAACAUCUAUUCUAUGGAAGCGUAAAGUAAAAAAACAAACAAAAAAGAGCUCAAAUGUUUACCUCAACAUUGAUGGUUAGUUCUCCUGUUUCAAAAAAUACAGACCUUCAAUCCUCCUUAAUUCCUCCAAACAAUCAAGGCAGCACACACGCUAGAUAAAGACACAAUGACACAACUUUAGAAAUGCACGCAUACCCUGACACACAAGCUCACCCACACACACACAUAUAGAGGGGAAUGGGAGUCUGCAGGCAGCAGUAACUGCUGAAUAAUUCAGAAGUGGAAAUGCAUGAUUGAUGUGGGACACUUCAUUUCCACACCUUUAAAAGGUCUCUUUUAGCUCCGGCACCAAACAGGCCAAGUGGUCUCUGCAGUUCAAAGCCUGGAAUGGAUCUGGCCUUCCUAGUCAUGCUCUUUGGGACAAGAGUGGCUUUAUUCUGUGGCACGGGCACCAGUGGUGGUGGUUGGGAUUCCACACCUGUGUUUGCUCCUUACCCAAUAAUUGAGAGCUGCAUGCUAUUUUGAGCUUGGAGCACAAAGUGCUUCACUCAUGAGGGGCUCGGGCUGAAGAAUCUUGGCUCCCAGUUUGAUGUGGCUGGAAAACCUGAAGGCCUGCAGAUUAGCCCGGCAGGGUGCAGCUAUACUCAAGAACAUAUGAGCUUGAAAGACAAACAUAGCCUACUUUGAAAUGGAAGAGCUACAUCAUUGUGACUGAUGCAUUAUUAGCAUCUUUUAUAAUAUUAUGAUAGUUUUGUAUUAAUUUUAUAGUAUGUGCAUUACAGUAAAUAAAAUACUGUACAGUCAAAAUGGAGGAAAUGUAAAUAUGUAUAAAUUCAUAAUGUUUAGUUACAAUUCAUUAUUUCCUGUUUAUACAUAUUUGCAGUGGUGGAAGAAGUAUUAAUAUCUGUUACUUCCUGUAAGUGCCAAUACCUCAAAGUAAGAAAACUUUAUCUUCAUAAUUUUACUUAAUCAAAAAGUACAUAAGUAUCAAUAGGAAAAUGUAAGUGAGGCGACAUAUGAUACUUAUAUUGAAUGUCUCUUUUCAGAGUGUUAUAUUAUUAGUUGGAUUAUCCUUAUGAAUACAUCUAUCCAUAAACUUAAGUGGUAGUCCUGGUAUUUAGUAUCGCAGAUUUGAAAAAUAAUGAUAAAAAUUGAAGCAGUAGAGGCAGAGAUAUCCAGAAAAUCCACACUAGUCUCUGGUAAUGAUGGGUCUGGCUCCUACACUACCCAUAAUGCAACCAGCAUCAUCAUAAAUCUGGAUUCUGCCUUGGCAAAUGUCCUCCAGAUCGAGUCACAGAAGACAUUAUUCAGCUGUUACUUCAGGCUGGCUGUCACUCUCCAUCACUAGUAAACUGAUGUAAAAUCAGUGAAAGUCCUCUCUAAUGUUGAAACUGCAGCAAAUUUUAACUACUUUAUAUACUAUAGCAAUCACAUUUUAUGACCUGAUCAUAAGUUUUGUACAAAAAAAUGUUUCAUUAACCGGUAACUACAGCUGUUCAAUAAAUGUAGUCGAGUGAAAAGUGCAAUAUUUGCCUCUGACUUGACUUUAGUAUAGUACUUGAGUAAAUGUCCUUUACCAUCAAAGGAAACCUACUUCAGUGUAGAAUUAUUACUUGUGUUUUGCCAAUGCAAUAAACCAGAGGCAUAUGAAAAUUCAUAGACAGGCUUAAGAAGCUGACUAAGUAAGGAUAGACAAAAUGGAAAUGAGCAAAAAAGAACAGCGAGCCUGAGCCAACACGCUGUUACUGAGCUAAGUCAGUUUAGUGGAGGGUCAGUCCAAGUGCAAGGAGAACUCCAAGUCAAAACAAACACUCACUUUGGCUUCUGACGGGACGGCGCACUCACUUUUUCCCACAAUUCUCCCGAACAGCUUAAUUCAUAGUCACACAAACUAGGUGGUCAUGAAACUCAUCACAACAAAAUGUUCCAGAUGUAAUUUAAUUUUCGUGAAAAUGUCCACUUUUCCUGCCAUAUAUGUGAUGCAUGUUAUAUAUUUUCACAGAAUGACAAUGAUAGAUUUAGAGUUGUGUUUCGUGUUUCAUGACAGCUCCGCACUGCCAGUUCAUUAUGAUAUUAAUAGGGAGGGUCGAAAAUGUCAAAACAUUCCUCAGUUGUCAGGCAACCUUGCCCUAGUUAAACCUUUAAAAAAAAAAGAGAGAGAUGUUGUUACCAACCAAGAGAAUCCAAAGGGACCCAUUUUUAUUUAAAAUGUUAACUGGCUGACCAAGCCGGCUGGGUAAUUUAUUACCAAGAGACAGGAAUUUUGACAAAUCAUUCAGCUCAGCAAACUCGGCUGUGGCAAAGUUCAGCAAUUAGGCUCUUAUGUAAAGAAAGUCUACUCCUCUGCAUCGGGUGUUCUGGAUUUAUGUGUGCUCUCCAGCUAGCGGGCAGGUUCAAAGCCCUGCGUAGGGGAGCUGGAGGUUGACACAUGGGGAAUUUCACAAAUAUGGUGGAACACACACAUUUUGCCGUAAAUCUGACCAGAGAAUAGUGGUCUUCAGGGGGAAAGGAGGUGGUCAGUGAGGGGAGAGAGGUGGAGUGUUGAGUGAAGGCAUAGCUAAAUAAUCAACCCGAGACGGGGGUCAACUAUUCUCAAGUCAUCUGUGAUAUUCAAGAGGCAGAAGAAAGGAUAAGAAAGCAGGACGACAGUGAUCUUUCACAGCCUGAUUGCUAAAUAAUAGAAUUUGCAAAUAGCUUCUAAAGGUUUCAGAACUCCCUUUUUAAAAAUGCAAACUCCUAAUGCAACUCACACAUGUUAAAUUUUGACUUCCAGUCAGCCAAGCCUAAACCCUCUGUCAAUAUUUAGCUUUCUUUUAAUGGGGUGAUUUUAUGCUACUGUCUGACCAUGAUGGCCAAUGAGUAGCUGCUUGCUCAGUGUCAUAGUGAGUCUACCUGAGAAUAGUUCUGGGUAAACCA